rnacentral:rRNA from 1 species
CCUACGGGUGGCUGCAGUGGGGAAUAUUGGGCAAUGGGCGAAAGCCUGACCCAGCGACGCCGCGUGAAGGACGAAGGCCUUCGGGUUGUAAACUUCUUUGGGGAGGGACGAAAAUGACGGUACCUCCAGAACAAGCCACGGCUAACUACGUGCCAGCAGCCGCGGUAAUACGUAGGUGGCAAGCGUUAUCCGGAUUUACUGGGUGUAAAGGGCGCGCAGGCGGCCCCAAAAGUCAGAUGUGAAAGAUCAAGGCUUAACUUUGACAUGUCAUCUGAAACUUUGGGACUUGAGUAUCAGAGGGGAAAGCGGAAUUCCUGGUGGAGCGGUAAAAUGCGCAGAGAUCAGGAGGAACACCGGUGGCGAAGGCGGCUUUCUGGCUGACAACUGACGCUGAGGCGCGAAAGCGUGGGGAGCAAACAGGCUUAGAUACCCCAGUAGUC